UAAAAUGCUGCUCAUGUUGAGAUCUGAUUUCGUGAAAUAACACUCAUACAAAUAAUUUAAAGAUUUAGAUAAGAAGAAUUGAAUGAAUCUGCGCAGCGCCCAGGGCGAAGCACGUGAACAAGCAAAAAAAACUGCUGCUGGCCACCACUACCGCACGAGUCACGACACCGGGUUGUAAUGAUGGCUUUCUAACUACUAGCCACUACUACUAAUCCGAUGUUAGCUAGCCUAUUAUCUUUAUUUCUUGGUUCGUUAAAGUUGUUAUGCAAGCAAUGUCAUACAUCGUGCGUUUAGCUUACUAAAUUGAGCAGCUCUAGCUAGCUAGCUGUCGCAUACCAAUCUGACAGCACAGCUUAUUGGCUGGCGCAGCUCAAGUUAUUUUUACAUUUGGCUUAAUAAUUGCAAGUGUUUUAGAAGAGUAUCACUUGCGGAUAACCACAUUGCUAGCUCUAAAUUAUGUAUCCAAUUUACCAUGAUUAGAAAAGUAGUUAUAAUGAACACUCACCGAAUGUUUUUGCUCCUCUGUCACUGUGAAGCUAACCAGGAAGAAAACAAAAUAGCACUUUGAUUGACAAGCCAACCCACGAAUGCAAGCAAUGAGUAACGGAUGGAAGCAACCAAUGAAACGUCUCUGGAACAAACAGAGGGUGAAUGAUAGCUAUGCCCCUGAUGUGUCGGGAACGGAUGUCCGUGCACGCCCCUAUCCACGUCGAGGGGGCUGUGGUGGAGUGGGUCGAGAGCAUGGUCCAAACACACCAACACGGUCGUGAAGAAGGCACGACAAUGCCCCUCAAGAGGCUGAAAAGAUUUGGCAUGGGCCCUCAGAUCCUCAAAAAGUUAUACAGCUGCACCAUUGAAAGCAUCUUGACUGACUGCAUGGUCCAAACACACCAACACGGUCGUGAAGAAGGCACGACAAUGCCCCUCAAGAGGCUGAAAAGAUUUGGCAUGGGCCCUCAGAUCCUCAAAAAGUUAUACAGCUGCACCAUUGAAAGCAUCUUGACUGGCUGCGUCACCACUUCGUAUGGAAACUGCUUGGCAUCCGACUGCAAGGUGCUACAGAGGGUAGUGCGUACAGCCCAAUAAAUCACUGGGGACGAGCUCCCUGCCAUCCAGGACCUCUAUACCAGGUGGUGUCAGAGGAAGGCCCUAAAACUUGUCAGACUCCUGCCACCCAAGUCAUAGACUGUUUUCCCUGCUACCACAUGGGAAUCAGUACUGAUGCACCAAGUCUGGAACCAACAGGACCCUGUACAGCUUCUAUCCCCAAGCUAUAAUAAGACUGCCAAAUAGUUAAAUGAUUAACCAAAUAGCUAUCCGGAUAAUCUGCAUUGACCCUUUUUACACUAACUCUUUUGACUCAUCACAUGCACUGCUGCUACUGUUUAUUAUUUAUCCUGUUCCCUAGUCACUUUAUCCCUACCUAUAUAUACAUGCAGUAUCUACCUCGUACCCCUGCUCAUCAACUCAGUACUGGUACCCCGUGUAUAUGGCCAAGUUAUCGUUACUCAUUGUGUAUUUAUUCCUUGUGUUAUUAUUUUUCUGUUAUUUCUAUAUUUUUCUCUCUACAUUGUUGGGAAGGGCCUGUUAGUCCACACCUGUUUAUGAAGCAUGUGACAAAUAACAUUUGAUUUGAUUUUGAGGGGAUGGAGAAAGUAAAGAGCAAUCAUAUUUGGCAUGAGUAAGUUUGUCCUAUUGUAAGACCUCAACUCAUGUUGGUUCUGGGGAGAUGAAAUCAUCUUUUUACUUGUGGGUCUAGGUAAACCUAAAUUAAUUCAAUACAUGGACAUGUACUGUACAUGGACUUGUUGCUCUGCUGUUUUUGCUGCAGUUUGAACCUAGAAUAAUGUGAUUAUUUGGGAAGUUCUAAAGAGCACUUCUACACCGGAGUAAGAGGAUGAACUCUGAAGAAGUAUAUUUGUGUUUAUUCAAUCUACAGUAAAAAGGUCAUAAAUGUAUUUUCAUUAAUCAUACCCGCUAUUUCAAUAAUUUACAGAACAGUACGUUAUGUUCAAGGUCAGGGUCUUCUAAGGAAGUCCCUUACUGGGAAGUAAGCGGUAGAUAAGAGUGUGUAAUAAAAAAGAACUGUAAUAAAGAUGUCUAUUGAGACAGAAACAGAAGCCAUGAAUGAAUAUGGCAAAUUAUGAAAAGUGAUUAUUCAAAAUGGUCUUAUCCCACACCCUGUCUUUCUCUGUCUGUCCAUCUCUCUUCCGCUCUCUGUAGUUGGUGCUUUGAGUGAUAAUCAUCUAGGGGUGAGUUGUGGUUGCAGCAGCCUUCAGGAAUCCUUUUUCCAGGAAUGGAAACACCGGAGAACCUUCACCAGAGAACCUAUGGGUGAAGAUGGGGUCAAACAGAAACAGGCUUAAUCAUUCUGGGAAAGAAAGAGCGGUGAGCUGAAGCUGAGCAAACCAGGUCAAGAGAUUAAUCAAAAUACUGUCAUAAUGCACCUUUGCUAUUCUCAAUCAUUCUCAAGAGGCAGAUACAGGGACAGGUAUAAAAUGGGCAGUUAUAAAAGAUCACAUUUUUAUUACAAAAUGGUUUAUCUAAAAACAUGUAAUUGCUCUGUGGCAAAAUCAAUAGAUGAGGCUUAUACUUGAUUUUCACAUUUAAAAAGCAGAACAUUUCAUGGAAACACAAAUAAUGGUCCAUUAAUUUAGCAUAUCUUCUAGGUUCAUUUGGGUUUAUUGUAGCCUCCCAUAGGAGGCUUAUAGUAACUAAUAUGUUCUGGAACGUAUUCAGUCUAAUGACUAAAAACAACAAUUCUAUAUUUAAUCAUAUUCCCUCAAGUCCAAAAUUAUAAACAAACAGAGACAGUGAUUUCUUUUUUUACCAAUACAAGAUUUUAAUGUUCCCUGUUAAACAACUUAACCAAAGUAUAACCACAAAAAAAGAGAAAACAUGCCACACUCUCUCGCAUUGCAUUCUUAUAUUGUUUCAAUUGGCCAAUUCCCCCGACCUUGAGACAUAGAUCAGUGAUCAUCAUAAAAAAGAACAACAAUAUUAAUGGAGUUAAUUUGGCUACUGUCACACAUGAAAACAGAUCAAUGUCAAAUCCAAAUAGCUCUGCAAAAUGGUCGCAAAUAAACCAUGAUAGAAAGAACACUCAUUUACACAUAAGGCAGUGUUGAAGGAUAUGAGGAAGCU